rnacentral:lncRNA from 1 species
ACCAGCUGAAAUCAGUUACGUUUCCGGUGUAAGUUUUCUCAAUUUCCCAAACUCCCUCCCCUGCGCUUUCUCUCUUUUCCGUCCACACACAUACUCUCUCUCUCUACCAUUGCCUCUGCUUUCUCUCUCUUCCUUCUUGCUUUUAAACCCCGUCCGUCAGUUACUUCCUCAGUUCUCUCUCUCUAAUCUUCUUCUCCUUGAAAAGAAAACAACAAAGACCCCUCCCUCUCUGCUGCACUUUCUUUUCAAGGAGACCACCGGAGGCUGUGAUGGCUGGACUGUUUCUUGUCGUGGUUGCGGC